rnacentral:rRNA from 1 species
UACGGGGGGAGCAAGCGUUGUUCGGAUUUACUGGCGUAAAGGGCGCGUAGGCGGUCAGCACAAGUCAGUUGUGAAAUCUCCGGGCUUAACUCCGGAAAGGUCAACUGAUACUGUGCGACUAGAGUGCAGAAGGGGCAACUGGAAUUCUCGGUGUAGCGGUGAAAUGCGUAGAUAUCGAGAGGAACACCUGCGGCGAAGGCGGGUUGCUGGGCUGACACUGACGCUGAUGCGCGAAAGCCAGGG